UACGGGGGGGGCAAGCGUUGUUCGGAAUUACUGGGCGUAAAGGGCGCGUAGGCGGUUGGAUAAGUCAGCUGUGAAAACCACGGGCUUAACUCGUGGCCUGCAGUUGAGACUGUCUGGCUUGAGUGUGGGAGAGGAGAGUGGAAUUCCUGGUGUAGCGGUGAAAUGCGUAGAGAUGUGGAGGAACACCGAUGGCGAAGGCAGCCCCCUGGGCUAACACUGACGCUCAUGCACGAAAGCGUGGGGAGCAAACAGG
rnacentral:rRNA from 1 species